rnacentral:rRNA from 1 species
CACGUAGGGUGCGAGCGUUGUCCGGAAUUAUUGGGCGUAAAGAGCUCGUAGGCGGUGUGUCGCGUCGGCCGUGAAAACCUGCAGCUUAACUGUGGGCGUGCGGUCGAUACGGGCAUCACUGGAGUUCGGCAGGGGAGACUGGAAUUCCUGAUGUAGCGGUGAAAUGCGCAGAUAUCAGGAGGAACACCGGUGGCGAAGGCGGGUCUCUGGGCCGAUACUGACGCUGAGGAGCGAAAGCGUGGGGAGCGAACAGG